rnacentral:sRNA from 1 species
CCUGCUCUGAUGUUCAGACUUAUUAAUGAAACUCCAAGUAAAAGUAAACCCUAAGAAUUUCUUCGUUAAUGUUGUUAUCCUCUGUGUUUCCCUUAGCUUUAUCGUCACAUUAAAUAAUUCAAUCUUCAGAGAAUCGAAGUAACAUUAUUAAUUUCAAAAUAAAAGGGACACUAUAUGUCUAAGUCAACUGGUAUCGUAAAGUGGUUUAACGAAGAGAAAGGUUUUGGUUUCAUUACUCAAGACAACGGCGGUGCUGACGUAUUCGUUCACUUCCGUUCAAUUGCUUCAGAAGGUUUCAAAACUCUUUCUGAAGGCCAAAAAGUAUCUUUCGAUGUAGAGCAAGGUCAAAAAGGCCCUCAAGCAGCUAACGUUGUUGCUCUAUAAUUGAGAUUUUGGCGUAAGUGGAUAACCCACUUACGCCAACU